UCGACCGACAGGUGAACCGAUAUCAGUUUAACCAGCCUCUGCGCCCGCUUUGCCUCUCGGUGACGUCAGGUGGCGGAUCUUCUUAACAGGGAAACUCCUGGCUCCCAGUACGCCAAGGAACUGUAGUCAAUCGGGACGGACUGAGAGGAAGACCCCGACGGUGAGCACCCGCUUCGCAACUGAACCGGACAUCACACUGCAUACGUAUGACUCUCAGCAACGGAUAUCUCGGCUCUCAUAUCGAUGAAGAAUGUAGCAAAAUAUGAUACUUGGUGUGAAUCACAGAAUCCCGUGAGCCACCAAGUCUUUAUACGCAAGUUGCGCCCGAGGCCAUCGGGCCGAGGGCACGCCUGCCUGGGCGUCACGCCACCCAUCGCUCCCCCCCCCCACCCAUUCGACCCGGAGGGGUGACGCGGAGACUGGCCGCCCGUGCCGGAGACGAUCUCCGUGCGCGGUCGGCCCAAAUGAAGGAACGCUGCGCGGUUGGGCACGACGGGUGGUGGCCGGAGCACAGCUGCGGACGCCGCGCCUACCCAUGCCGCGCUGCGUGGAAUGAGAGGGGCACGGACUGCAGGCCGUCGAUGCGACUUGCGCGGAUCGGCGUGCCGGCUCCCG
rnacentral:rRNA from 1 species